rnacentral:rRNA from 1 species
AAACUUUCAACAACGGAUCUCUUGGUUCCCGCAUCGAUGAAGAACGCAGCGAAACGCGAUAGUUAAUGUGAAUUGCAGAAUUCAGUGAAUCAUCGAGUCUUUGAACGCACAUUGCGCCUCCUGGUAUUCCGGGUGGCACGCCCGUUUGAGCGUCAGC